rnacentral:lncRNA from 1 species
AACACAUCACUUGUCAUGUCAUUAAAAAUAACAGCAAAAUAAAACAGGGGAUAAAAUCCUAAAAAUAAAUUUAAGAAAAAUAAAAACUUAAAAAAAUAAAAACCAAUCCUAUAUUUUUUAAAGGUUUAAAUAUCACUAGAUAAAGAUAAUCUUAUGCUCAGCAUCAUAUAAUCAAAUUUUGACUUUAUAUAAUCAUUCAACCACAAUGUUGUUUUCACUAUCUUCUAUGUAUGAACGCCACGACACUUUUAUAUUAUGAUACAAUACUUUUGAGCUAAUCCAAAAAUUUGGAAGAUAAUCGAAAUAAUAUAUUGGAAAGAGUGAAGGAAAUUAUAAAUUUUCUGACCUUAUAACACACACAAUAACUAACUUCCAAGUAAUAUAUAAUUAUUUUCAACUUUCAUGCACACUCACAUCUAUAAGAAAUGCAUUUCCGUUUUAAAGGACGAUAACAUGCUUUGUCUCGACAAUCAGUUUUAGUUUGGCAAGGGGAAGAAAAAUCUGCAAUGUCAAAUAAAAGAUUGUUACUAACAAUAAAUUAGUUAAAUAAAUAUAAACGGUUGAUUUAAUCUUUAAUAUUGAUAUUUAUUUAUAUUUAUAUAAUAAUAUAACUGAAUUAUUAUAUUCAAAAAUCAAUAACAUUUUAAUAUAUAUAAAUGAGACGGUCAUUCCAUAAAAAAACAAAUUUGAUAGAAGAUUCAGUUUUCCUAGAUUUAAAGAAGUUAAAGACGUCAUAAUGUUAACCAUUAGAUCGGAUAAUAAAAUUCAUGUUAAUGUUCCCAUAUUUUAAAGGAAGAAGGAAGACGCACUUGUAGAAGAAUUUGUUAAGAGAAGAUCGGGAAAGACCUCGAAUAAAUUUGAAAUUCUAUCUAAAAGCAAAUGACUUAACGAAGAUAUAGAAGAAAAUUUGAAAGUUAUGUGAAGAAAUGACUUACAUGGAUGUGGUUUAUCCCGUACACCAUUAGUUAACACAAGAAACACAGAAAGAAAGACUAUCAAAGAAAAAACAUACUUGAAAAUUUGAAGCAUACUUUUCUUCCUUUGGUGUGAUAAAUUGAAUUCUUUAAAAUUAAUUUAUAUGUGGAAGUUCAAAAGUUUUUAGAUUAUAGUUGAAAAAACUUGGCACUUUGAAGUUGCAAGAAUCCAAACAUAAAAUAAUGAUCUUUUCAUUAUAUGUCUCUAAGAUAUAUCAAAAUUUCAUAUUUGUCUUUUAAGCUCAUUCAUUGAUUCGAUAGCUUAAACCUUGGUAAAGAUCUUAAAUAAAA